AUUGAACGCUGGCGGCAUGCCUUACACAUGCAAGUCGAACGGCAGCACGGUUACUUCUAGCUGUUGGCGGGUGCCGGUCGCGUGCGUAUUACAUAGACACCUGUCUCUUCUUUUUCGUUAGCGCUGCCGAAGCCGGAUUAAUACCACUUACGCACUCCGCCUACGAGCGGGGGCCCGUCGUCUCUCGCGCUUUCGCGUUUGCCUAUGGCGGAUUAGCUAGUUCGAGGGGUAAAGGCCCACCAAGGCGACGAUCAGUAGCUGGUCUGAGAGGACGAUCAGCCACACUGGGACUGAGACACGGCCCAGACUCCUACGGGAGGCAGCAGUGGGGAAUUUUGGACAAUGGGCGAAAGCCUGAUCCAGCAAUGCCGCGUGGGUGAAGAAGGCCUUCGGGUUGUAAAGCACUUUUGUCCGGAAAGAAAACCUGGGCGCUAAUACGGUCGGGGGAUGACGGUACCGGAAGAAUAAGCACCGGCUAACUACGUG
rnacentral:rRNA from 1 species